rnacentral:lncRNA from 1 species
GCCUUAGCCACAUCCUGGGACAUGCUUCCAUGACAAGGUUCCGAUCCUGUGACCAACUUGGGGUAGGAAUGGAAGUCAGGAAAGGAAUAAGCCCUGGAGUGUUGGAGCAAAACCAAGAUCUUAGGCCAGGGUUUCAGGGGUGGGGAAGGGGGAAGUGACAGAAAAGAAGGUGGGGUCAGUGAAAGCCAGGCCUAGAGGGCAGGCCCAGUCUUCACUCCUAGUAGUCUCGAGGAAGUUCUAGCUUUAGAAAGGAAUUUGGACUAUUUACAUUUUUGAGGAUAAAUCCUUCUUGCUAGUGAAUGGCCAUUACUAUUUGCCAAUCUGAUAUCUGAAAAACUGAAUCUUCUGGCUUUAGCACACGUUUUUCUUAUUGAGGUCCUCCCUGCUUCCCAGAGCAGAAUCCGGAGCCACCUAUUCUCUCCAAGUUUGUCUCGCAGCCAGGCUGGGAACCGUGCGCGAGCGACUCCCGGACCCGGCAAUCAGUCUUCCCUGCCCCAGCGUCGGAGACGAACAAUCACCACCAGCGGCUGCUGAGUGCUAGACGCUUUACUCCCACAGCUCCAAAAGCCACAGACGAGCAGACCCCCAGAAAUUAGUCCUCGCCACUCAGAUGAGGCAGCUCUGCGAAAUUGGAUGAUGUGCUUGGACUCACAAGGCUAAUAACGCUAGGAGAGCAGCGGUUUCAAACCUACAGUACCAGAGGCUGACCUCAACGCAACGCCCGAGGCUGGGCGCAAACCAACCAGUUCGGAAUGCCAUAAUUCACAGAGACAUUCCCACGGACCGGAACCAGAGAGUCCCCCAAGAGCACCGAGUGUGACCGGUACUGGCGGACGAUCACCCCUUAGCAGGAGCUGGAGAACACUUACCAUAAAAGAGAGGGCGAGCGCCUGCCUGGGAGGAAUCCCCAGCGCUGGCAGGUCCGGGACUCCCGGGAGAGAGGUCUGCUGCCACUGCCGCCCACGCAGGGGCGCCCGAGCGACCCCGCGGAUGCUGGCUGCUGCUUCUCAACCAGCGGCGCGUCCUCUCGACUUGUAUCCGGCGGCAGCGCCCUCUCGCUCCGCAGGGUGCCCUGGAGUUAGGGACGUUCUUGGAGAAGUUGACGCUCGGGAGAGGCCGCCGAGGUCCGGUCCCGAGUAGUGAAGUGCCCCACUGCGCUGAUCUCAGCGAGAUGCGGAAGCCCUUGCCCUGAUGGCCCUAAAGCUUGGCGCCUGACCUGGAGAGCGACGAGUCCCGCGCUCAGGGCACACGGGCCGCACCUCGGCCGCCCGUCCCCGGAGCACCGGGUUUCUUCCCUAGAGCACUGAGCACACGCCGCGAGGGCUGCAGUGGUGGCCAGGGCCCGGGCAGCUGUGCGCUCAUUGCCUUCCCCAGGGGCUGAGCGCCUUUGUGCGCCGGGCGCGCCGACCGCCAGGGCCAGCUCUGGAUGCUGCAGCCGCCGCCUCCCCCUCCUCCUCCACGGCCGCUCGCUCCCCGCCUUCCCGGCCGGCCCGGAGGCUGCAGCUGAAAGCCGAUCCGGCUGAGCUCAUCCCUGAAGGCCACUAAUCCAAUAGCCGCGGAAGGCGCGGCCGCCGGGAACGCCCCUUCCCCCACCAUCCCGCGCCCCGGCCGUCCCAGCUCGGGCCGCUGCCGGCUCUGCCACCUUCUGGAGGCCACCAGCUGGCGGGAAAGGGAAGUGGAACCCUCGCCCGCGCCCCUGGGCCGAAGUGGCGCGGACGCCAUUCACUCAUCUGCGGACUGGCUAGCCUAGACACUCGCUCACACACGCGCUCAUUCAUGCGCAUGGGUCCUCCCCCAUUCAUUCAAGCGUGCCUAGAGAGCCACGGUGGGUGUCCCUAGGGGCGGGGAUGAAGAGAGGAGACAUCACGGUCGCCAGAUAGCUUUGGAGCCUGUAUUGAAGGCCUGCGGGAAACAACGACUGGGAAAGAGAAUGCUUUAAUAUACCCCCUUGCCUUAGGCACACACAUGUCCACACUUUAUUUCUGAGGCCAGACUCCAACUCAUCUUUCAGAAUCCAAUUUCACGCAGCACCUGCUCCAUGGUGCUUUUCCCCUGACCACCUGAGGCCCGAGAGAAGGAUCAUCGAUCAGAGGGCUACCGAGAGCGCUGAAGGAUGGCGGCUCCCUCGGUAACCAGAGCGCAGAGAUAAGAGGGCGUGGCCAGAGCGAGGGAUGCUCUGUACCUCCAAGUUGGCUUCCUUCCAGGCCAGGGCAUCCUGCUUUCCAUGCCAGAGUUGACAUUAGGUCCAUUCCAUAGUCUUAACUGACCUCACCCCUCAGAAAGUGUCCUUUUUUUUCCCCCCAUGUACACAGAAGAUAAGCACCUGUAAUUCAGCCCUGUGAGGGAAAUGUGUUGACCAAGGCUCCAGGGUACCUCUCCCAGACUGGGGAGGGCAAUUUGAGAAUGUUUCCUUGUGGAAGUGUCUGCAUGAAUGAGCUGCUAGAUGCAGAGACAUCAUAGUCUCAUGGUAGGUACCUGUAACAGCCUGUGGUAUGACUGGAGCCAAAACAGGAGGUAAGAUGAAACGAGAGUAGGUACUUAGGGUCUUGGAGAGCAUCCAAAGGGCUUGGCUUUUCCCCAAGAUCAGUUUGGCAGGCCUCUUGACCUUCACAGAUUUGCUGUCCAGAAAGAUAAUCCAGUGGCAGGAUGGAUAGAUGGAUGAAUAGCACUGGCCAGCUUGGAAGCUGCUUCAGAGAUCCAGGCAGUCAAUGAUGCUUUGUCGAUUAGGACAGCUCAGUGGUGUGGCAGAGGGGUAUUCUGAGCAAGUAUUUGUGGCGCUCUUGGUUUUAUUUGGGCUGCUUCAUCUAUAUCUGCAUGUCUGUCUCUCCGUACCUGUGUGUCUCUGCUCUUGGGACUGCACAGAAGAGCUGCUGAAGGGAAUGUGACCCAUGCACACAUUUCCUUGUCCCCCCGAGUCCCCUCCCUCCCCAGGACAUUUCUGGAGUACGUGCUCUGACCACGGCUGUGGUGCUAACAGAGCUGGACAUCGUGAAAUGAGAACCGAGGAAAACUCAGCAAACAGGAACUUAAGCAAGACUUUUCAAGGACUGGAGAGAUGACUCAGACGGUUAAACCAGGCAGUGGGUGGUGCACGCCUUUAACCCCAGCAUUCACUAGGCAGAGGCAGUCAGAUCUUUUAGUUCAAGGCCAGCCUAGUCUACAGAAUGAGUUCCAGGACAGCUAUGGCUACCUAGAGAAACCCUGUGUCAAACAAACAAACAAACAAACAAACAAACAAACAAACAAAGUACUUGCUGCUCUUGCAGAGGACCAGGGUUCAGUUCCCAGCACUCACAUGGUGGGUCACAGCUGUCCAGAAUAUCAGUUCCAGGGCAUCAGAUGCCUUCCUCUGACUUCCAUCAGCACCAGGCAUGUAAAUAACACACAUACAUUCACACAGGCAAAGUACUCAUACACUUAAAAUAAACCCUGAAAAAAAAAUACCAUCCCCGGCUGAUGGUUUUUCUACCUGGACCCCAAUACAACUGCCAACACUCAUUUCUUCCUUCUUUCUGGAAGACUUCACAAUAGCUCUAGAACAAGGUGAGGAAGGGUCAAGGGUCACAUUUUGAGAAACUGCUCCCCCAAAUACAUACCUGUGUGCCAGAUAAGUUCUCUACACAAGCCUUUGUGACUUGCCUUGGGUAUCAAGAAAUGGGCACAAUGGCACCCCCAAAUAUCACUAAAGUUCCCCCAAAUCUUCCACCCCCUGAAUAGCAUAGGUAUGGUGUGUCCCCAAGUUUGAAAUGUGAACAAGUAUCUGUUCAUUCCACAUAGGGUAUCUAUGGUGGAAAUAAUUCCACCCAAGCCUAUUUUGGUGAUCCAUUAGUGUUACUUAUAGAAGCACGGGAGGCACAGAGAUAUCACUAAAAAGCCCAUCCCGGGAUGGAGAGCAAGUGGAGCUCUGUGCACAGCUAGCGAUCAGAAGAGCCUGCAUGCUCCAGCUUUUACAAGCUCGAGAAGGAGCCUUGUGAAUCUUGUAACUUUCAUGAGCUUUCCGAGCCUUCUAAGUUUUAUUAGCUUCCUGAGUUUUAGUUUAAAAAAAAAGAAGAAAAAGAAAAAGUCUUAGUAAACCUCUCUGAGAGAAUGUUUCAAUUCAGAGGAAACAACCGCACAAGAAGAAGGAACAAUUGCCAUUUGAGGAAUGGCCUGGAUCACCUGACCAAAUGUUCUUUAAACUGAAGCUCGAAGCCUAUAAACUGGCCUCUGAUAAUCUUUGACCCUGGAUUGCCACAUUCUGUCUCCCUUCCUCGGAAAUGCAGGCUAGACUGCCUUGCUUUUCACAAAUAGAACACAGUAAGACAGACAUGCUGUCUUUCCCUCCUGGGAUUGGAUAAGGAAAAGGCUCCAGGCUCUGGGCACACAUCAUCUCUCUUGCUCUUUUGCCUUUUGCCCCCCACAAAGGAAGUCAGGUAUUGUGUGGGGAAACUUGGUGAAGGAUUGAGGCCUGCAGCCAUGGAACUGAGCUAGGUAGCACAUCCCCUUCCUUGGCUGAGACUUCCAGUCAGGCUUCGAUCCUUUUGAUGUCUUGAAUACAUUCAAGACACCUGAAUCAGAGACAUAAACUAAGCCACACUGAUUCUCUCAACUGUGGAAAUGCUAAGAAAAUGAUUGUGAUUUUUAAGCUUCUGAAUCUUGGGAUUUUGCUAAUCGGCAUCAUAUAUACAAGAAAUUCUUAACUGCCAAGGAGUGGAUCUAAAAUAAAUCCCUGAUGAACUCA